UACAGAGGGUGCGAGCGUUAAUCGGAAUUACUGGGCGUAAAGCGUGCGUAGACGGUUAUUUAAGUCGGAUGUGAAAGCCCCGGGCUCAACCUGGGAAUUGCAUUCGAGACUGAAUAGCUAGGGUACGGUAGAGGGAAGUGGAAUUUCCGGUGUAGCGGUGAAAUGCGUAGAUAUCGGAAGGAACAUCAGUGGCGAAGGCGGCUACCUGGACAAUUGCUGACGCUCAGGCACGAAAGCGUGGGGAGCAAAAGGG
rnacentral:rRNA from 1 species